rnacentral:rRNA from 1 species
AUUGAACGCUGGCGGCAGGCCUAACACAUGCAAGUCGAACGAGUGGCGGACGGGUGAGUAAUGUCUGGGAAACUGCCCGAUGGAGGGGGAUAACUACUGGAAACGGUAGCUAAUACCGCAUACCAUCGGAUGUGCCCAGAUGGGAUUAGCUAGUAGGUGGGGUAACGGCUCACCUAGGCGACGAGCCCUAGCUGGCCUGAGAGGAUGACCAGCCACACUGGAACUGAGACACGGUCCAGACUCCUACGGUAGGCAGCAUUGGGGAAUAUUGCACAAUGGGCGUAAGCCUGAUGGAGCCACGCCGCGUGUAUGAAGAAGGCCUUCGGGUUGUAAAGCACUGUCAGCGAGGAGGCGUUACCCGCAGAAGAAGCACCGGCUAACUCCGUGCCAGCAGCCGCGGUAAUUC